rnacentral:rRNA from 1 species
GACGGAGGGUGCAAGCGUUGUUCGGAUUGACUGGGCGUAAAGGGCGUGUAGGCGGUUGGUCAAGUCUGAUGUGAAAGCCCGGGGCUCAGCUCCGGAAGGGCAUCGGAAACUAGCCAGCUGGAGCGCGAUAGAGGAGGGCGGAAUUCCUUGUGUAGCGGUGAAAUGCGUAGAUAUCAGGAGGAACACCGGCGGCGAAGGCGGCCCUCUGGAUCGUUGCUGACGCUGAGACGCGAAAGCGUGGGGAGCAAACAGG